rnacentral:rRNA from 1 species
GAUGAACGCUGGCGGCGUGCCUAAUACAUGCAAGUCGAGCGAACAGACGAGAGUGCUUGCACUCUCUGACGUUAGCGGCGGACGGGUGAGUAACACGUGGGUAACCUACCUAUAAGACUGGGAUAACUUCGGGAAACCGGAGCUAAUACCGGAUAAUAUUUAGCUUCGCAUGACGCAAUAGUGAAAGACGGUUCUGCUGUCACUUAUAGAUGGACCCGCGGUGUAUUAGCUAGUUGGUGAGGUAACGGCUCACCAAGGCAACGAUACAUAGCCGACCUGAGAGGGUGAUCGGCCACACUGGGACUGAGACACGGACCAGACUCCUACGGGAGGCAGCAGUAGGGAAUCUUCCGCAAUGGACGAAAGUCUGACGGAGCAAUGCCGCGUGAGUGAAGAAGGUGUUCGGAUCGUAAAACUCUGUUGUAAGGGAAGAACAAGUACGUUAGUAACUGAACGUACCUUGACGGUACCUUACCAGAAAGCCACGGCUAACUACGUG